rnacentral:miRNA from 1 species
CCAUAGGGACGUUUGCCCGUU